GUGGGAGUUUUUUAAAUGCAAACACAUGGCCCCAAGUGACAGAGCAGUGUGGCAUUUCUAUCAUCACACACUGCCCACUUACUCCCUUCUCCAGCCACUCAAACCUUUCCUUCAGAUCCCCCUUCACCAGUCCAGUCCAGCUGUUUUCAGUCGGAUCCCAUGAGACUGCAAGAACACUUUAAGGACUCCAUGGAUGCUGCUCCUGGUCCUACAGAGAAUAAGGUUUUCACCCCCAUAUUUGUUGUUUAAAUAAACAAAUAAAUAGACAAAAAAAUCCAUUUGCUUUUUGUCAAAAAAUAAGUUAUGUCAUCUGAAAUGACUUUUGGUCCUAGCCCUCAGGGAAUCAAUGCAGUCGGUGAUUGUCACAGAAGGGACAAACGCCUUACACAGUAAACUGUGACAUCUUGCUCUUCCUGUUCUGCUGACUAACAAGGAAACUGUUUCUUCAUGCUCCAGAUUUUCUCUUACCUCUUGCUUGUAUCUAGGAUUUGUUUUCCUGCUGAUGAUUUGUGUACUUUUGGCCAUAUUGGAAUGACAAGACAGUGACAUCUGGUGACCAGGUGGUUUGAAAAUGCAGCUGGUUUAUUGUUGUGCUCAGGGUUGCUUUGGUCCUGUGAGAAAUGAUCUGUUUUUUCUUGUGGCCAUGAGGAGUCUGUUGGCUGUCUUCAAUGGAAUUUCUGCCCUUAAAUCUCCACUCUGCAUGGCAUUUGUAUCCACCACUCCAGGGAGAUGUUACUUUUGGCUCAUGAAGUGCUUCAAAUGCUGGGCAGAGGGAUGUUCAUGGGCUGCUGGGAGAUGUCUGUGCCUCCAGCAGGAGGUUGGAAGAUCUUUGGGGUCCUCCCCACCCAAAUAUUUCUACGACUGGAUUGGUGUGGGAGAGGGAAAGAUUCACACACUGUGUGGAAUGUGUACAGCUAAAGAGAACAUGCCAUAAGAGAUGAGAUUCCAGAUGUUCAAAGCCGCUACUUCUACGUUUGUGGCCUUGCUCCAGGCGUGUGGGAGAAGUCCUUCUGCAGAGGCCGGUGUCUCAGGAGAAUCCCUCACCAUUAUUUAAAGAACUGGCAAAAUAUGGCAAAUUAGUGAUACAUGACUGGCUGAGAGAGGAGACAUCACAUCACAGAAGGGUCACGCUUAGCUGACUUGUGCAGAAUCUGAAACAAAAAUACCUGAAGGAAAUAUUCCACAAUCAACAUAAUAUGAAUUUUAAGUUGUCUGAAACCUACAAUAUAAGGCCCAAGCUUUCCAAGCAGCCUAAUUUGAGGUAGUUUUAAACGGUAAAAACUUGGUUUCGUUUCAUUCUGCAUCUCCCUCCAGUAUAUGAGGAGCAUUAACUAAAGCAAAGCGUUUGCAGUGGCAGAGUUGCUAAUUGUGCUGCACUUUUGGUGUGAUUUUGUGUGUGUGUAUGUUUUGGUUUGGGUUUUUUGGUCUUGAACUGUUUCAUGUUAUAUUCUCUGUUUGUGAGUAGAUACCAUCAAAUGCUUAGCUUGGAGAGUGCUUAAAGGAGCACAUACAGUGCCAAAUCAACCCUGGUUUUAUUCAGUAACAACAGAAAAGAACAGGGGUGAGAGAAAAUUUCAGUUGUCUUUGGUCAAGGUAAAUGAGACAGCCUAAAGCAGCCCUCUGGGGAACAUCCCUGAGCACGUGGAGCAUCCUUCAGAGAAGGUGCUGGGCAGAGACCAGGGCACAGUGCUUGACAUCCCUUGUGACUCAGUUUCUGCCCUGUGUCAGCACCUGCUGAAGAUGCUGAUGUCAGUGGUACAUUUAGGGUUGUAAUCAUCCUUGACAAGAUGAAAUAUGGCCUCUGAAUUCCAAGAACAUAUGGGAUUAUUGAGAAGGAAAACCAUGUGAACAAGGGCAAUUACAGCAGUAACUAUCCAUGACACACUACACCGAGCCAGCCAAGCAUACCACAGAUAGAAUGAAAAUACUUUUAAAGGCAAACAUGGUGUAAGCCAGAGCCAAAAUGAUCUAAUUUACUAUUCCAUCACGAGUGAUAAAUGCUAAUAACCUCUGUGUUUCACAAAACAGCCAGACAGCUUUCUUUUAUGUAUGCCUUGCUACAUGGUUUUAAAGGAUACGAAGGGAAGAAGGUUUAUUGAAAGAGGAUGAAAAGCCUUUCUCAUCUAAAUUCCAAUCUCUAAUUUUUCAGCAUAUAAUUGCUCUAGUUAUUUUUCCACACCUCACCACAUCCACACACCUAUGCAGCACAGGAGGCAGCAGGCAGGCUGUUAAUCAUCACAGCAAGGCACAAACCAGAGCUGCGGGGCUGCAUCCCUGUGAGGGAGCUGAGGAGAUGGAGAUGUGACCUUCCUGGAUCCUCAUUAUCAUUUUCAGAUAAAAGUGUAAGAGUAAUAAAGUUUUCAUACAAGAAGUAUUAGUUAAAAACCCCUCACUCCUGACCUGCUGUGGACUGAGGCCAUUCCCAGAGCCAGGAUUUCAGUCCCAGCCACUCAGCAAGGGCUGCCCCUGAACCCAGGAGUUCUCUUUCUGCUGCUGAGGCUCGGCACAGCUCCUCUCUGGGUAUAAAGUUUAACACAGAAAUAUUGUCUCCACAUUUCCUCAGCACCCUGGCAGACAGGAGGUCUCUCACAGGAGAGAUGUGAUUAUACAGCUCUGAUGUAUAAUUGCAACAACAGCACUGAUAGGGAACCUGCAUUGUUAUGCUGUUGUUUACAAUCCAUGUCAAAAGAAUAAUUGUAACAAAUACAAAGUCUUUUUAGGAAAUUAAGAUUUCUUAUUUAUUUGAGGGGGAAAAACAACAAAACUAAAUUAUUUUACUACUUACUGGCAAAGUCAUCCUUGCUACAUCACCUAUUUUAAAAACUCACAUUUCAUUCAAUUAAGAUUUCAUACUGUUGACAAAAUGAUGCUGUCCAAAAAAAUAUUGUAAUAGCUGCUAUAUACAUGCCCAUAAAUAAACUGCAAGAUUUUCAAGCUUCAAGAGACUGAGAACAGGAAGAGAUUGUUUAAAGAUUCAUUUGAGCAUUUCUUAUUCAGUACAUUUGCUGCAUUCAGUACCAAGAAGAACACAUUGAAUCAAACUAACAGAAUGGGAAUCGAUGGCAACAGAACACAUUUGCACUUUGAGGGGAUUUUCAGCAAUUUGCCAAAAACAGGAGCAGCCCCAUCCCCAAUGCAGUGAGAUAAAUUCAGUGCUCCCAACCUCGUGGGCCAUGAACAAGAUAAAACUGCUCCAUGCCCAGCCACGUUCUCCAGGUACAGCGAGGGAUGAGGGAGGAUCUCAGGAGACACAGGAUGAUCAAUGCUCCUCACACAAAACACUUCCACGUCAUU